UACGUAGGUGGCAAGCGUUGUCCGGAAUUAUUGGGCGUAAAGCGCGCGCAGGUGGUUUCUUAAGUCUGAUGUGAAAGCCCACGGCUCAACCGUGGAGGGUCAUUGGAAACUGGGGAACUUGAGUGCAGAAGAGGAAAGUGGAAUUCCAAGUGUAGCGGUGAAAUGCGUAGAGAUUUGGAGGAACACCAGUGGCGAAGGCGACUUUCUGGUCUGUAACUGACACUGAGGCGCGAAAGCGUGGGAGCGAACAGG
rnacentral:rRNA from 1 species